CCCUUAGAUGAUUUGGGCUGCACGCGCGCUACACUGACCCUAACAAUGAGCAACUGUCUGGCCUGAGAUGGCUGGGUAGCCUUUUCAACCCAUGUCAUGAUUGGGCUAGAUUUUUGUAAGUCUUGAUCUCUAACGAGGAAUCCCUAGUAUGCGUGAAUCAUCAAUCCAUGCAGAUUAUGUCCCUGCCCUUUGUACACACCGCCCGUCGCUCCUACUGAUUGGGUGAUCCGGUGAGCUGUUCGGCCAUAGCAAUGUUUCUUGAGCAGGGCAACGAAUGUUUCGCAAACCUUGCCACUUAGAGGAAGGAGAAGUCGUAACA
rnacentral:rRNA from 1 species